ensembl:lncRNA
GCGAAAAUCACGCGUUUUCUCUCCGAGAAUCCAACAUUUAAGCGAAAAUCACGCGUUUAUCUCAAAUCCCACAUUUAAGCGAAAGUCACGCGUUUUCUCUUCGCAAAUCCCUCAAUUAACACAAAAAACCACGAGUUUUCUCUUCAGCAAAUCCGCCAUUUAAGCAAAAAUCACGCGUUUUCUCUUCAGGAAUCUUCCAUUUAACCCGAAAAUCACGUGUUUUCUCUUUGCAAAUCCCCCAUUUAACUUGAAAAUCAUGCAUUUUCAAUUUGCAAAUCCCCCAUUUAUGCGAAAGUCACGCGUUUUCUCUUCGCAAAUCCCCCAUUUAUGUGGAAAACACGUGUUUUCUCUUCGAAAAUCCCCCAUUUAACCCGAUAAUCGCACAUUUUCAAUUUGCAAGUCCCCCAUUUAAGCGAAAAACACGCGUUUUCUCUUCGCAAAUCCCCCAUUUAACCAGAAAAUCACGCGUUUUCUUUUCGGAAAUCCCCCAUUUAAGCGAAAAUCACGUGUUUUCUCUCCGAGAAUCCAACACUUAAGCGAAAAUCACGCGUUUUCACUUCGAGAAUCCAACAUUUAACGAAAAUCACGCGUUUUCUCUCCGAGAAUCCAACAUUUAAGCGAAAAUCACGCGUUUUCUCAAAUCCCACAUUUAAGCGAAAGUCACGCGUUUUCUCUUCGCAAAUCCCUCAAUUAACACAAAAAACCACGAGUUUUCUCUUCACAAAUCCGCCAUUUAAGCAAAAAUCACGCGUUUUCUCUUCAGGAAUCUUCCAUUUAACCCGAAAAUCACGUGUUUUCUCUUUGCAAAUCCCCCAUUUAACUUGAAAAUCAUGCAUUUUCAAUUUGCAAAUCCCCCAUUUAUGCGAAAAUCACGAAUUUUCUCUUCUCAAAUACCCCAUUUAAGCGAAAAUCACGCGUUUUCUCUUCGCGAAUCCCCCAUUUAACUUGAAAAUCACGUGUUUUCUCUUCGGAAAUCCCCCAUUUAUGCGAAAAUCACGCGUUUUCACUUCGAGAAUCCAACAUUUAAGUGAAAAUCAUGUGUUUUCUCAAAUCCCCCAUUUAAGCGAAAAUCACGCGUUUUCUCUUCGCAAAUCCCGCAAUUAACACAAAAAACCAUGAGUUUUCUCUUCGAAAAUCCCCCAUUUAGCCCGAUAAUCGCACAUUUUCAAUUUGCAAGUCCCCCAUUUAACCAGAAAAUCAUGCGUUUUCUCUUCGCAAAUCCCCCAUUUAACCAGAAAAUCACGCGUUUUCUUUUCGGAAAUCCCCCAUUUAAGCGAAAAUCACGUGUUUUCUCUCCGAGAAUCCAACACUUAAGCGAAAAUCACGCGUUUUCUCAAAUCCCACAUUUAAGCGAAAGUCACGCGUUUUCUCUUCGCAAAUCCCCCAUUUAACCAGAAAACCAAGCAUUUUCUCUUCGCAAAUCCCCCAUUUUACCAGAAAAACACGCGUUUUUACUUCGAAAAUCCCCCAUUUAACCCGAAAAUCACGCGUUUUCCCUUCGCAAAUCCCCCAAUUAACACAAAAAACCACGAGUUUUCUCUUCAAAAUCCCCCAUUUAAGCGAAAAUCACACGUUUUCCCUUCGCAAAACCCCCAUUUAAGUGAAAAUCUCACGUUUUCUCUUUGAGAAUCGUCAUUUUAAGUGAAAAUCAAGCGUUUUCUCUUUGAGAAUCCCCCAUUUAUGCGAAAAUCACAAAUUUUCUCUUCUCAAAUACACCAUUUAAGCAAAAAUCACACGUUUUCUCUUUGCAAAUCCCCCAUUUAACUUGAAAAUCACGCGUUUUCUCUUCAGGAAUCUUCCAUUUAACCUGAAAAUCACGCGUUUU